UACGAGGGGGGCAAGCGUUGUUCGGAAUUAUUGGGCGUAAAGGGUGCGUAGGCGGUCUGGUAAGUCUUGUGUGAAAUCUUCGGGCUCAACUCGAAGUCUGCACGAGAAACUGCCGGGCUUGAGUAUGGGAGAGGUGAGUGGAAUUCCCGGUGUAGCGGUGAAAUGCGCAGAUAUCAGGAGGAACACCGGUGGCGAAGGCGGGUCUCUGGGCAACAACUGACGCUGAGGAGCGAAAGCGUGGGGAGCGAACAGG
rnacentral:rRNA from 1 species